rnacentral:tRNA from 1 species
GAAUCCGUUGGUCAAGUCCCUCUAUCCCCAA